rnacentral:rRNA from 1 species
GGAAGGAUCAUUACUGAAAUAGUAAUUCUUUUGAAAGGUCUUCGAGUAGGCUGCAAGGCCCAAAGAACCUCUCUCACCCUUGUGUACCUUACCAUGUUGCUUUGGCGGGCCGACCCGGUUUCGACCCGGGCGGCCGGCGCCCCCAGCCCUCACGGGCCAGGACGCUUGGCUAAGUGCCCGCCAGUAUACAAAACUCAAGCGAUUAAUUUCGUGAAGUCCUGAUAUAUCAUUUAAUUGAUUAAAACUUUCAACAACGGAUCUCUUGGUUCUGGCAUCGAUGAAGAACGCAGCGAAAUGCGAUAAGUAAUGUGAAUUGCAGAAUUCAGUGAAUCAUCGAAUCUUUGAACGCACAUUGCGCCCUCUGGUAUUCCGGAGGGCAUGCCUGUUCGAGCGUCAUUUCAACCCUCAAGCUCUGCUUGGUAUUGGGGCGACGUCCGCUGCCGGACGCGCCUCGAAGACCUGGGCGACGGCGUCUUAGCCUCGAGCGUAGUAGUAAUAUCUCGCUCUGGAGUGCUGGACGACGGCCGCCGGACAAUCGACCUUCGGUCUAAUUUUUCCAAGGUUGACCUC